rnacentral:rRNA from 1 species
GUAGUCAUAUGCUUGUCUCAAAGAUUAAGCCAUGCAUGUCUAAGUAUAAGCAAUCAUACUGUGAAACUGCGAAUGGCUCAUUAAAUCAGUUAUCGUUUAUUUGAUAGUACCUUUACCUGGAUAACCGUGGUAAUUCUAGAGCUAAUACAUGCUAAAAACCUCGACUUCGGAAGGGGUGUAUUUAUUAGAUAAAAAACCAAUGCCCUUCGGGGCUCCUUGGUGAUUCAUAAUAACUUAACGAAUCGCAUGGCCUUGCGCCGUCGAUGGUUCAUUCAAAUUUCUGCCCUAUCAACUUUCGAUGGUAAGAUAGUGGCUUACCAUGGUCUCAACGGGUAACGGGGAAUUAGGGUUCUAUUCCGGAGAGGGAGCCUGAGAAACGGCUACCACAUCCAAGGAAGGCAGCAGGCGCGCAAAUUACCCAAUCCCAAUUCGGGGAGGUAGUGACAAUAAAUACUGAUACGGGGCUCUUUCGGGUCUCGUAAUUGGAAUGAGUACAAUCUAAAUCCCUUAACGAGGAACAAUUGGAGGGCAAGUCUGGUGCCAGCAGCCGCGGUAAUUCCAGCUCCAAUAGCGUAUAUUAAAGUUGUUGCCGUUAAAAAGCUCGUAGUUGAACCUUGGACCUGGCUGAUCUGUCCUCCUAAUCGAGCGCACGGAUUCGGUCGGGUCUUUCCUUCUGGGGAGCCCUAUGCCCUUCACUGGGUGUAGUGGGGAACCAGGACUUUUACCUUGAAAAAAUUAGAGUGUUCAAAGCAGGCCUUUGCUCGAAUACAUUAGCAUGGAAUAAUAGAAUAGGACAUCGGUUCUAUUUUGUUGGUUUCUAGGACCGCUGUAAUGAUUAAUAGGGAUAGUCGGGGGCGUCAGUAUUCAAUUGUCAGAGGUGAAAUUCUUGGAUUUAUUGAAGACUAACUACUGCGAAAGCAUUCGCCAAGGAUGUUUUCAUUAAUCAGUGAACGAAAGUUAGGGGAUCGAAGACGAUCAGAUACCGUCGUAGUCUUAACCAUAAACUAUGCCGACUAGGGAUCGGACGGUGGUUUUUUUAUGCCCCGUUCGGCACCUUACGAGAAAUCAAAGUUUUUGGGCUCGGGGGGGAGUAUGGUCGCAAGGCUGAAACUUAAAGGAAUUGACGGAAG